UCUUUACUUAACAAUUUAACCCACCACUACUAUCAAGUAAUUUUAUAUGAUAUAAAAAUUAUAAUGUUAAAAUUAGUAAUAAGAAAUUGUAUUUCUCCAAAAUAUAAGUGUAAUGCAAAAUAAACCCUCAACUGCUAAUUACUGUAUAUAAGUUCUAGGUAGUAACCUCACAAGAAAACCCUACCACAAUAAACAUUAACCUAACACAAGAAUAUUUCUGGAAAGAUUAAAAAAAGAGGAAGGAACUCGGCAAAUAUAAACCCCGCCUGUUUACCAAAAACAUCGCCUCUUGUUAAUUUAUAAGAGGUCUCGCCUGCCCCGUGAUUUAAUUUAACGGCCGCGGUAUCUUAACCGUGCAAAGGUAGCAUAAUAAAUUGUCCUUUAAAUUAGGACUAGUAUGAACGGCACAACGAGAGUUUUACUGUCUCCCCCUUUUAAUCAAUGAAAUUGAUCUUCCCGUGAAGAAGCGGGAAUAUAACUAUAAGACGAGAAGACCCUAUGGAGCUUUAAACUUAAUAUCACUUAUUUUACUUAAUAACACAUUAUAUAAUAAGAAUGCUUUUACAGUUUUUGGUUGGGGCGACCCUGGAGAAUAAUAGAUCCUCCAGAUUGAAAAGAACAAUAAUCCUUAUACAAGAACUACAGUUCAAACAAACAAAAAUUUGACAAUACUGACCCAGAAUAAACUGACCAGUGAACCAAGUUACCCUAGGGAUAACAGCGCAAUCCAUUUUAAGAGCCCCUAUCGACAAAUGGGUUUACGACCUCGAUGUUGGAUCAGGGCACCCAAGCAGCGC
rnacentral:rRNA from 1 species